rnacentral:rRNA from 1 species
UACGUAGGGGGGCAAGCGUUGUCCGGAAUCAUUGGGCGUAAAGAGCGCGUAGGCGGCCCUGUAAGUCCGCUGUGAAAGUCAAGGGCUCAACCCUUGGAUGCCGGUGGAUACUGCAGGGCUAGAGUCCGGAAGAGGCGAGUGGAAUCCUGGUGUAGCGGUGAAAUGCGCAGAUAUCAGGAGGAACACCGAUGGCGAAGGCAGCUCGCUGGGACGGUAGCUGACGCUGAGGCGCGAAAGCUAGGGGAGCGAACAGG